rnacentral:lncRNA from 1 species
UGGUUUCAUAGAUAGAUUGAACUACCUGUCAUGGUUCACAUCUCAUCUAACAGCCACGUGUGAACCUAUAUUCAAGAUGUUGAAAAAAAAAAGAUCAAACGGUCAGGUGAAAUAAUGAUUGCCAAGGGGCAUUGAAGAAUAAAAAAGAAUAAGUUGCAGGAACCUCUGAUUCUGAUACCUCCUGUGGAAGGAGCAAUUGUUAAUCUGUACUUGACGGCCUUCGAGGGGUCUACGAGGUGUAUUGGGUCAGCAUGACGCGUCUUGU